rnacentral:rRNA from 1 species
UACGAAUGGGGCAAGCGUUGUUCGGAAUCACUGGGCUUAAAGCGUGCGUAGGCGGAUUUGCAAGUCAGAAGUGAAAUCCCAGGGCUUAACCCUGGAAUUGCUUUUGAAACUGCAAGUCUAGAAUCUUGAAGAGGUUAGCAGAAUUCCGAGUGUAGAGGUGAAAUUCGCAGAUAUUCGGAGGAAUACCAAUGGCGCAGGCAGCUAACUGGGCAAGUAU